CUCCCCUUUGCCCCUGGAGUCACCCCCAUGUUCUCUAUAUGUUUGAGGAAGGAAAAGUAUGUACCUAGCAGAGGGACAACUUGGAUCCAAGGUCAUCCCCUGGGUUCCGUCCCUCAUUCAAAACAGAGAGCCUUCACCCAAACUUCAAGCAACACAACACGAGACAAGGAUACAGCACAGGCUAUGGGUUUAAUUCGCAGCAAAGUCUGUGAGGCAGAUGUUCAUGGGAAGGUUGUGAUCGUGACUUAUGGCAGAAGCAGAACCUGAGGCCCGUGUGCAUUUGGGUAUACGUGCUACAUGGGAAGGAAGAGAACAAGACUGUCGAUAUGGAACCGCUCGUCCAGCACAUCGGAGGUACUCAGUAAAUGUGAGGUCACCGGCUUUACAGAAUUAUGUGACUAGGGCCCCAGAAACCAGAUCCUUGCUGCAGCAGUGCCAAGAGACCGUGGGCAGGCAAAUGCCAAGUCCCAGACAGUACAUCAUCACCAGGGAGAUAACCUUGAGCUGGCAGGGACCGCCAGUCAUGCAUCGGGGCCGAGCUGAGCCAAGAGUGCUAACAAAAAGGGUCUUGUCCCUGCACCAUUGUCUGGAGAUCAAGCCUUCCAGCGGCCCAGGCCUGGGCCUGGACAAGGGACAACAUCUACAGGAAGAGUGUUGCUCUGCCCAGAGAUGUAAACUUGUGGUUCAUGAGCCACAGACAGGCCAAAUGACCAGCCCUGAAAGCACCAGCCUACAGGGGCCCUGGUGACAGACCAGCGGUGUUAAUAUGAAGGAAGAAACAGGGAGACAGAAGAGAAGAUCAACCAUCUGAGAGAGCCAGGCCCAGAACCAGAUCUUGUCUGGGGAACAGAGGAAGUCUGAAGCUUCGCUUUGGAUAGCUGUUCGAACUGUCUCUUCGGACAUUUCAUUCCAAACCUGCUUAUUGUUUUGUCCUCACAGCUUCAUCAGCAGUCUCCACUUUACUGAUGGCAGUUGAGGUAGUGGCCUGACUCCAGCAGUCCCUACCUCUCUCUGCCCCCUGGUGACCUUCUAGCUGCAAACGCAGCGGCUUCUUUCUAACCAGCAGCCGCGGUGCUGUGCUCUGAUUUCCUGGUUUACAGCGCCACCGUUUGGACAGUUUUAACUAAGAGGCGAUCGCUCCGUCUCGCGUUCAUCGGCAAUCUUCCACUGCGAGUAUGCUGAAUGUGGGUAAUGUCAAAUGCUGAAUGUCAAUAGGUUUAGCCCCCACCAGAGCUUCAUCCAUGCUGGGUUAUCAUGAAGGGCUGUGCUAGAGAUGUGAAUAGGAACCAAGGAACUGGCUACGACUCCCAAUCUCUGUCAUCUCACUUGUGCCCAAACUAUCCCAGGUUCUCUGUUCCCUGUCCCCUCCACCACCUCCCACCUUCCUUCAGCACUAGACACAUCCUGUAUGUCCACCUUGCUACUUCCCGGUCCACCUCAGCCCUCCUACCUCAGCUUCUGACUGCUGCCGAGCCAUCGCCACACAAAGAAUAAAUGUUUAUUACAUUUUA